AUGCCGUUCCCCACGCGCCUCCCGCCGCCGGCCACCGCCGCGGCCGCUACCGCCGCAGCCGUGCUCGCGGCCGUCGCACUGCGCCGGUACCUCUCCUCCCGCUCCCGCGCGGCCGCGGCCGCGCAUAGCACCAGCGGUGCCCCAGCCGCCACCACGUUCCUCGUGCUCUCCGGCAAGUCCCCCCAGGACCAGCAGUUCCUCGCCUCCGCCGCCGGCGAGCUCUCUCUCGCGGAGGAGGGCGGGGGCGAGCUCGCCGUCUCCCUCGCGCUCGACGCCAGCGGGGACGCGGGCUUCGACGCGGCCGCCUAUAUGGGCGCGCUCCAGGCGCGGCGCUUCGGGAGGUGGAUGCUCUGGUCGCCGCGGAUGGCAUCCACGCACGACCUCGUAACGCAGAACUUCGCCAAACUUCCGGUGGGCGUCGUGUGCGCCACAGACGUGCAGUUCAAAGGCAGAGGAAGAUCAAAGAAUGUGUGGGAAUCACCUCCAGGUUGUCUCAUGUUCUCGUUUACAUCACAGAUGAAUGAUGCCCGGAAGCUUCCCCUUAUGCAAUAUGUCGUUUGCCUUGCCAUGACCGAAGCCAUCAAAGAUUUGUGUUGUGCUAAGGGACUUCCAGAGCUAGAUGUAAGGAUAAAGUGGCCUAAUGAUCUAUAUCUGAAGGGGUUAAAAGUUGGUGGCAUUCUUUGUACCUCAUCAUAUGAGCCGAAAGUCUACAAUAUUUGCACUGGUAUUGGUUUAAAUGUCGACAAUGAAAAGCCUACUACAUGUUUGAAUGCUGCACUCCAAGAACUAAAGGCUAAUUCACCCAGACUUAAACGAGAAGACAUACUAGCAUCAUUCUUCAACAAAUUUGAAGUUCUUUUUGAUAUUUUCUCAAAUCAAGGAUUCCAGGCCCUCGAGGAGCAAUACUACAACUCAUGGCUUCACAGUGGCCAAAGAGUCGUCGUACAGGAUGCGCAUGAAGGCCAGUCUGUGAACAGCGUGGUCACGAUCAAGGGGCUAACACCAAGUGGCUACUUAUAUGCUGUUGGUGAGGACGGCAAGAGCUAUGAGCUGCACCCUGAUGGUAACAGCUUUGAUUUCUUCACAGGAUUGGUGAGGAGAAAGAUAGAUGCAUAG
rnacentral:rRNA from 1 species